CUUAAACACUGAUCUUCAUCGAAAAUGCAAAACCAACCUCCUACCCCUCCUCCAGGUUAUCCGACUGGAAAUCCUUCAAAAGAGCGGAAGAAAAGGAACUGCUGCCCAAGAACAAAGACAAAAGGAGACAGGGGUUUCCUCGAGGGAUGCCUCUUUGCUCUAUGCUGCUGCUGGAUCUGUGAAGUAUGCUUCGACUGAAUCAGAAUGAAACAGCAACAACAGGCACAUAUGUUAAUUUCUGUACUUUAAUUUAAGAUGCAAAGGGAUAUCGGAGGUUCAAAGUGUACACCUUUUGUUUUCAAUAAAUGAUACAGAUUUAAGCAGAUAAAAGAAAUACACUGUUAUUUA